UACGUAGGGGGCAAGCGUUGCCCGGAAUCAUUGGGCGUAAAGAGCGUGUAGGCGGCCCGAUAAGUCCGCCGUGAAAGUCCAGGGCUCAACCCUGGAAUGCCGGUGGAAACUGUCGGGCUGGAGUCCGGAAGAGGCGAGUGGGAUUCCUGGUGUAGCGGUGAAAUGCGCAGAUAUCAGGAGGAACACCAAUGGCGAAGGCAGCUCGCUGGGACGGUACUGACGCUGAGACGCGAAAGCGUGGGGAGCAAACAGG
rnacentral:rRNA from 1 species